UGCCUACGGGGCGCAGCAGUGGGGGAUAUUGCACAAUGGGGGAAACCCUGAUGCAGCGACGCCGCGUGUGGGAAGACGGUCCUCUGGAUUGUAAACCACUGUCCCCAGGGACGAAGAUGACGGUACCUGGGGAGGAAGCUCCGGCUAACUACGUGCCAGCAGCCGCGGUAAUACGUAGGGGGCAAGCGUUAUCCGGAUUUACUGGGUGUAAAGGGAGCGUAGACGGCAGAGCAAGUCUGAAGUGAAAGCCCGCGGCCCAACUGCGGGACUGCUUUGGAAACUGCCCGGCUAGAGUGCUGGAGAGG
rnacentral:rRNA from 1 species